rnacentral:lncRNA from 10 species
CGGUGUGUGAUGUUCCCCUUCCUGUGUCCAUGUGUUCUCAUUGUUCAAUUUCCACCUAUGAGUGAGAACAUGCGGUGUUUGGUUUUCUGUCCUUGAGAUAGUUUGCUGAGAAUGAUGGUUUCCAGUUUCAUCCAAUAACUAGUUUUAUCAUAGCUUUCCAUGAUGUAAUUUUUUAAGCGAAAGGUACUAACAUUUCCAGUCUUGAUUUCCAAGUUUUGUGGUGUGCACUCGAAAUCUAGUCUCUGAUUGUUAAACUCUGGGUAGGUACAAGAGGCUCUUAAUUUUCUUCCUCCCAGGAGGACUUACUUACACUUAAAGGUCAAAAGCUUAACAUUCACUUCUAAAUGGUUAACUGCAUACACUUUACCCUUUGUAAACUUCAAUUUAUCUUUUUU